AAAAGAUCGUUUCUCGUAUGAUCACCGAAGUUAAGCAACGUCGAGCCUAGUUAGUACAUAGAUGGGUGACCGCUUGGGAAUGCCACGUUCUGUAAG